rnacentral:rRNA from 1 species
AUUCCCCUAGUAACUGCGAGUGAAGCGGGAAAAGCUCAAAUUUAAAAUCUGGUGGUCUUUGGCCAUCCGAGUUUGUAAUUUAGAGAAGCGUCUUCCGCGCUGGGCCGUGCACAAGUCUCCUGGAACGGAGCGUCAUAGAGGGUGAGAAUCCCGUCUUUGGCACGGACAUGCCAGGGCUUUUGUGAUGCGCUCUCGAAGAGUCGAGUUGUUUGGGAAUGCAGCUCAAAAUGGGUGGUGAACUCCAUCUAAAGCUAAAUAUUGGCGAGAGACCGAUAGCGAACAAGUACCGUGAGGGAAAGAUGAAAAGCACUUUGGAAAGAGAGUGAAACAGUACGUGAAAUUGUUGAAAGGGAAACGCUUGAAGUCAGUCGCGUCGACCGAGACUCAGCCUUGCCUUGGCUUGGUGUACUUCUCGGCUGACGGGUCAGCAUCAAUUUUGCCCCUUGGAUAAUGGCGAGGGAAAUGUGACACCUUUACGGUGUGUUAUAGUCUCUUGUCGCAUGCAAGGGUUGGGAUUGAGGAACUCAGCACGCGCCUUUGGGUGUCGGGGUUUUUGCCCACGAUACGUGCUUAGGAUGUUGGCGUAAUGGCUUUAAACGACCCGUCUUGAAACACGGACCAAGGAGUCUAACAUGCCUGCGAGUGUUCGGGUGGAAAACCCGUGCGCGCAAUGAAAGUGAAAGUUGGGACCUCUGUCGUGGAGGGCACCGACGCCCGGACCAGACCUUUUGUGACGGCUCUGCGGUAAAGCAUGUAUGUUAGGACCCGAAAGAUGGUGAACUAUGCCUGAAUAGGGUGAAGCCAGAGGAAACUCUGGUGGAGGCUCGUAGCGAUUCUGACGUGCAAAUCGAUCGUCAAAUUUGGGUAUAGGGGCGAAAGAC